UACGGAGGGUGCAAGCGUUAAUCGGAAUUACUGGGCGUAAAGCGCGCGUAGGUGGUUUGUUAGGUGGAAUGUGAAAUCCCCGGGCUCAACCUGGGAACUGCAUGCAAAACUGGCAAGCUAGAGUAUGGUAGAGGGUGGUGGAAUUUCCUGUGUAGCGGUGAAAUGCGUAGAUAUAGGAAGGAACACCAGUGGCGAAGGCGACCACCUGGACUGAUACUGACACUGAGGUGCGAAAGCGUGGGGAGCAAACAGG
rnacentral:rRNA from 1 species